CCGAAAGCGAAGGGCCAUGGCGGCGGGUCCGGGCCUGAACCGGGCCGGGGCAGCCUCUCACCAAGCGGGGCGGUGAAGGCGAGCGGCUCCGACAACCCCUUCCGGGGGCCUGCUGGCGAGAGGGCUGCCGUCUGAGGAUCAUUUUCAGAUAAGACCCAACAGUACCUGUGCCACGUUCAGCUGCGGCUGCUGUGGUUUGAGGACAUGGCCGUGCUCCCCCAUGGGAUGGCACAAAGGUCAUCAGGGAUAUGAAAGUCUGUGUCCUCACCUCACCUGAGCAGACAUAAACCCACCGUCACCGCUGUGUCCUGGGUCCCCGGCUCUUUGCCCUGUUGGAGUCAGCACAUCCAGCUACUACCCACUCUGCAGAGGAAGACUCGGAUCUCUCUGAGGAGCCUGGCAUGCAGCUCUGCCCCGCUGCUCGAGCAUCACAGGGCUGAACUUGAGCAGCAGCGGAGGAUGAGGUGGCAGGCAGGCAGGAACACCUUCCUCUCUACGAUCACACAUUUCUGAUGGACAUCCAAGGUACCGCAGCCACCCAGGCAUCAACUGCCGUGCAUGGAGCGCUGGCUGAAAUGCACAAGAGAUCUUUGGCACAGCCCAGACUGCACACAGCUGCCUGGCAGCAGGGCCAGACCCCUGUGCAUUCAUUGUCCAUCCCCAGAGACGCCCAUGGAAACCAAUGUCCCCAGGCCAGCUGAUACGGCUUCUUGCAACCUCUCAGCUCCUACCCGCAACUGACACUGACUGAUCCUGUCAGCAGUUUCGUAACAAACAUCUUAAAGGCUCUUGGUGUCCUCAGUUUGCCCCUGCAGACAUAACCAACAGCAGUUUUCAUGUUGAUGCAUCAAGUAAGAACAGUAUGACAGCUUCUCCGCUAACACUCGGUGGUUUCAGAUAUCCUAAAGGAACAGGAGCUCCGACCACGAGACUCUGCAGAAACACCGGCCGCGGUGGACCCAGCUCUUACUGACAGGGUCAUCAAUAUCACAGGGUUGGAUGAGCCGAAAAUAAUCUAGAUGUCAGGCUGAUCUAUGGACGUCUCAGGACAUUUUUGUGGAGCAGUCCGCAGUUUUCCAAUUCAACUGCCCAAGCAUAUAUGAGACAUGCACACACGGGCUCUAUAUCAAGCAGCACCCUCUCCAUGUCACUGAAAAAGUAAUCAAAAGCAAGGAAAUAGCAACGAAUCCUACAAAGAAUAAGUAAUUGAAAUGAAGUAGUUACAUUAGAAAAUAGGAGACGCGAUUAGAAGCUGGGUUUUCUUAUGCCAGGAAGCCAGGAGAUAACAAACCUUAAGUGAUUCGCUAGUUCAAGAGCGUAUCAGCCAUCCAGUAACUUGGGCAGGGGGACUGGAGAAGGAAGGAAACAUUCCCCAGCUCUAUUGGUGUUACAUGGACUAGUGGGCAAAAGGCAGGUGGGAUGAAAUACAUGGGGGAAAGCCAAACCUGUAAAAUAAAUGAAAUAAAUUGUCAGUAUACUGCUUACCUCA